rnacentral:rRNA from 1 species
UACGUAGGGGGCAAGCGUUGUCCGGAUUUAUUGGGCGUAAAGAGCGUGUAGGCGGCCAUUCAGGUCAGCUGUGAAAACCCGAGGCUCAACCUCGGGCCUGCAGUCGAUACGGGCAGGCUAGAGUUCGGUAGGGGAGACUGGAAUUCCUGGUGUAGCGGUGAAAUGCGCAGAUAUCAGGAGGAACACCGGUGGCGAAGGCGGGUCUCUGGGCCGAAACUGACGCUGAGGAGCGAAAGCGUGGGGAGCGAACAGG